rnacentral:lncRNA from 1 species
AUGCCAUCAAGAAAUCAUCUCGACAAAAUCGGGAGGAAGAAGAAGAAGAAAUGGACGGAGGAAGCCAUGGAGCGUGCACUGAUCGAGGUGAAGUCUGGAAGGUGCACGGUGAGACAAGCUGCCAAGGAGUUCGGAGUCCCUAAAUCUUCCCUGGGGGACAGAGUCAGUGGUCGGGUGGCACCAGGGAGUCGCAGCGGGCCGGCACAGCUUAUAACAUCUGCAGACGAAGACCUGCUGGUAGAGUUCUCUUUAUACAUGUCCAAGCAUGGAUUUCCACUGACCAAGCAACAGCUAGUGUCCUUCGCGUCCUCCAUUUAUAAGCGGCAGCAUCGGAGGGUGGCAUUUUCUAAACUGGGCCAGACCUGGUGGCUCAAUUUUAGAAAACGGCAAGAAAAGAAUAUUACCAUUCAGCCAGCAGACAAUGUUGUCCGUGGGAGGACGGUGUGUGUGAGGAAGGAAGCAGUGGAGCAGUUUUUUCAUUUACUGAGCACUGUUGUUGACGCUCGGGGACUCAGAGACAGGCCUCACCAAAUUUUUAACUGCAACGAGAUGGGAUUUCAGCUGGGCAGGAAGAGGGUGAUACUCCCAAAAUCUGCCAGUCUGGGCUACAAGCCAGCACCAGGCCUGAGGGACCACAUCUCCGUCUUGGCUUGCUUUAGUGCGGCUGGAGUGGACAUUCCCCCAUUCAUUAUCUACUCAAAGGCCUAUCCAGGGGGAGUAUGUUACAAGACACAAGGACCUCCAAACGCCCUCUAUGGUUGGUCAGACUCGGGGUGUGUCAACUCUGAACUUUUCAAGAAAUGGUUCCUCAAACACUUCCUCCUGCACGCGCCAAAAGAGCGGCCACUGCUGCUGAUUUUUGACGGCCACAAGUCUCCCGUGAACCUCGAGGUGGUGGAAGCAGCACGUAAGGAGGACGUCAUCCUUCUGUGCCUUCCGCCUCACUGCUCUCACAUCCUGCAGCCGUUGGACGCGGGGCUCUUUUUCCUCCUGAAGCAGCGCUUCGCAGCGCUCAUAGGUGACGGUUGUGCCACUGAUACUCACUUUGCUGUCAGCAAGAAGGAGUUUUCAGGUGUAUUUAAAGGGACGUAUCAGGUAGUGAAGGAGGAGGAGGGUGUCAGGACUGUGAAGGAAGGUUUUAGGAAAUGUGGCAUGUACCCUCUCAACCACUUUGCCAUUAACGAGGGUCAUUUAAUGCCGUCCCACGCAAUGGACUCAGCAGCUGGACCUUCCUUGUCCACAUCAGCACAGGGGAUGCACUCUGUGGGAGACCUCACAGCUGCCGGACCCUCCUCCUAA